AGAACAGAAAAGGACUCCCACUGUCACAUACAUUCAGUAUGUAAACCAACAUAACAGAUAGUGUGUGGAAGAUGCUGUCACUGCAUUACUGGGUCAUUUUUCCUUUGUUGGUGAUUACACUGAAAGGUGUCAACUGUCAACAACUGACUGCAGUGAAGGAUGAAGAGUCCGGUUUAGAAGGCAGCACUGUCACUCUGAUCUACAAAUACUCCCAAGCCGCUACUUAUACUGACUAUUUCUUCUGGUAUCGACAACAUGCAGGAAAACCUCCAGAGUUCCUCAUCUAUCACUCAGGAACACAGAAUGAAACUAAAGCUGGACUCUCUGCUACAGUGAGUGGUGAUAAAAACCACAUCACUCUGAAGAUCUCCUCUGCUGCAGUGACAGACUCUGCUGUGUACUACUGUGCUGUGAGGCCCACACUGGCAGCAGCACAUAAGGCUGGUUGA